rnacentral:rRNA from 1 species
GGCCUACCAUGGUUUUGACGGGUAACGGGGAAUUAGGGUUCGAUUCCGGAGAGGGAGCCUGAGAAACGGCUACCACAUCCAAGGAAGGCAGCAGGCGCGCAAAUUACCCAAUCCCGACACGGGGAGGUAGUGACAAUAAAUAACAAGCCAGGGCCCAUAUGGGUUUUGGCAUUGGAAUGAGUACAAUGUAAAUACCUUAACGAGGAACAAUUGGAGGGCAAGUCUGGUGCCAGCACCCGCGGUAAUUCCAGCUCCAAUAGCGUAUAUUAAAGUUGUUGCAGUUAAAAAGCUCGUAGUUGAAUUUCGGGGUUAGCAGGUCGGUCGUGCCAUCGGUAUGAACUGGUCUCGCUGAUCCCUCCCUCUUGACGAACUGUGAUGCCAUUAAUUUGGUGUUGCAGGGAAUCAGGACUGUUACUUUGAAAAAAUUAGAGUGUUUAAAGCAGGCUCACGCUUGAAUACAUUAGCAUGGAAUAAUGAAAUAGGACGUUUGAUCCUAUUUUGUUGGUUUCUAGGAUUGACGUAAUGAUUAAUAGGGAUAGUUGGGGGCAUUAGUAUUCAAUUGUCAGAGGUGAAAUUCUUGGAUUUAUUGAAGACUAACUACUGCGAAAGCAUUUGCCAAGGAUGUUUUCAUUAAUCAAGAACGAAAGUUAGGGGAUCGAAGACGAUCAGAUACCGUCGUAGUCUUAACCAUAAACUAUGCCGACUAGGGAUCGGAUGAUGUUAAUUUUUUAAUGACUCAUUCGGCGCCUUACGGGAAACCAAAGUGUUUGGGUUC